GAGCUAGCAAGUCUGAUGUCCUUCUGUUCCCUAUUCUAGGUCUGGGCUUGAUGUUCACCGAUUUUCCCUCAGCUCCGACUGUGGCUCCUCUCAGCAGACUCUGAUCCUGCUCUCAGCCGGGCUGCAUCUGCCCAUCUCAGCACGUCAAUAAACAACAGAGGCAAACUACCACCUUGGAGGGAGCCAGGCAGUUUCUGCUGGGCAGGCCGCAGCCGGGAGCAUGGAAGUAGCUUCUUCCAUCCUCCACUGGAAACCACCCAGCAUCCUGGACCCUCCAGAGAGGAGCCAGACUCCCUCCCCUGGGAAGAGACUAUAGUCCUAUCUGUAUCCUCCGUGGUCACUGCCCCUCAGUCCCAGCAAUGAAGAGCAAAUGACCUGUUUUCUGUAUGUUUCUCUGAUAACAACUGACACAGAGUAAAUAUGAAAGGUUCUGGA